rnacentral:rRNA from 2 species
UGUAGUCGACGAUGAUGCCCAGCUUGCUGGGUGGAUUAGUGGCGAACGGGUGAGUAACACGUGAGUAACCUGCCCCUGACUCUGGGAUAAGCGUUGGAAACGACGUCUAAUACUGGAUAUGACUGCCGGCCGCAUGGUCUGGUGGUGGAAAGAUUUUUUGGUUGGGGAUGGACUCGCGGCCUAUCAGCUUGUUGGUGAGGUAAUGGCUCACCAAGGCGACGACGGGUAGCCGGCCUGAGAGGGUGACCGGCCACACUGGGACUGAGACACGGCCCAGACUCCUACGGGAGGCAGCAGUGGGGAAUAUUGCACAAUGGGCGAAAGCCUGAUGCAGCAACGCCGCGUGAGGGAUGACGGCCUUCGGGUUGUAAACCUCUUUUAGUAGGGAAGAAGCGAAAGUGACGGUACCUGCAGAAAAAGCACCGGCUAACUACGUGCCAGCAGCCGCGGUAAUACGUAGGGUGCAAGCGUUGUCCGGAAUUAUUGGGCGUAAAGAGCUCGUAGGCGGUUUGUCGCGUCUGCUGUGAAAUCCCGAGGCUCAACCUCGGGCUUGCAGUGGGUACGGGCAGACUAGAGUGCGGUAGGGGAGAUUGGAAUUCCUGGUGUAGCGGUGGAAUGCGCAGAUAUCAGGAGGAACACCGAUGGCGAAGGCAGAUCUCUGGGCCGUAACUGACGCUGAGGAGCGAAAGCGUGGGGAGCGAACAGGAUUAGAUACCCUGGUAGUCCACGCCGUAAACGUUGGGCGCUAGAUGUAGGGACCUUUCCACGGUUUCUGUGUCGUAGCUAACGCAUUAAGCGCCCCGCCUGGGGAGUACGGCCGCAAGGCUAAAACUCAAAGGAAUUGACGGGGGCCCGCACAAGCGGCGGAGCAUGCGGAUUAAUUCGAUGCAACGCGAAGAACCUUACCAAGGCUUGACAUACACCGGAAACGGCCAGAGAUGGUCGCCCCCUUGUGGUCGGUGUACAGGUGGUGCAUGGUUGUCGUCAGCUCGUGUCGUGAGAUGUUGGGUUAAGUCCCGCAACGAGCGCAACCCUCGUUCUAUGUUGCCAGCGCGUUAUGGCGGGGACUCAUAGGAGACUGCCGGGGUCAACUCGGAGGAAGGUGGGGAUGACGUCAAAUCAUCAUGCCCCUUAUGUCUUGGGCUUCACGCAUGCUACAAUGGCCGGUACAAAGGGCUGCGAUACCGUAAGGUGGAGCGAAUCCCAAAAAGCCGGUCUCAGUUCGGAUUGAGGUCUGCAACUCGACCUCAUGAAGUCGGAGUCGCUAGUAAUCGCAGAUCAGCAACGCUGCGGUGAAUACGUUCCCGGGCCUUGUACACACCGCCCGUCAAGUCAUGAAAGUCGGUAACACCCGAAGCCGGUGGCCUAACCCUUGUGGAAGG